AAAGACCACCAAAGCCUUGGAUUGCCAACUGGACUAAGGAGCAGUUGGUGGAAAGAAUGACUGCAGAAAGAGAGGAGAUUUUGGGGAUUGUGAAGAUGGCGGAGACAAGAACAAGAGAUAAAAUGAAA